rnacentral:lncRNA from 1 species
UGUUAGACUCUGAGAGUGAACAGAACGUUUUUGCUCCUAAUUAAACUAAUUAGCCUCAUGAUAUCAGCUUAUUUUCCCCAAAUUGUGUUUUACUUUUUUUUUUUUUUUUUUUUUUUUUCUGGAUUCUGGUUUUAUGAUUUAAUACAAAUUAAUCAUCCAAAUGUUGUCUAAUAAAAUGAAUUAAUAGAAACUUCAACAAUUCAAGCAAAUGCCAUCAAAUGAAAAUAUAAAAUUAUUUUAAUACAAAACAUUGCAUUGAAAUUUUUCAUCAAAUAAGAUGCUGCACAAUGCGGUUUAAUAUUAAAACAUGGAUGAAUAAAUAUCUUGCUUGUAUGAUAUUGCUUUAAAAUAUUAUAUUAUAAUUACUACUUGGAGAGUUACAUUUUAAUAUGCAGUAGUAUUUUGUCAUAGUUCCUUCGAUUUAAACUGAACUUUUAUUUUGGCGGGUUGUGCUGAAGAGUCUUAGUGUGUGUUUUAUGGUAGUUUUUCUCAAAGUAAACACUUCCAUAUCAACACUUGUUCUGGAAAAAACACAAGGUCUAGAGAUGCAUUUUUCCGUAGUUUAACUUGAGAGUUAUAUGUUCAGGACGAGAUGCUGCAAGAGACCCACAAGCCAUGUAGUGCACGCUUACAAACUAACAAUGGAAAAGCAGAAGGCUGACCUGCGGCGAGCCCCACUGGCAGAAGCAGUCUGAAGAUGAGUCCACACAGCAGCUCCGAGGCCAUCCUCGUAUCACUCCAGGAGUCGAUCAGAUCCCGCGUCCACAGCUCUUCUGUCUGUGCAGUCUUUCACAGCACAUGAUCCGCUCGGCUCUGUGGAGCCCGGCUUCACUUCAGUCUAGUCUAGUCCUCAUGGUAAUCAAAGAGUCCAGAUAAUCCACUCUUCAGACAUGCUUCGUGUUCCUCAGAGCAGCUCGUCUUACCUGUUGACAGGAGAGAUCAUGCUGCUGUUCAGACGCACUGCAAACAUUUCAUUCGUCCCGAGUGUGCUGGGUUUCCUCC